AAGGCCCUAAUCCUGACCCCGCCAGCAGCUACCUCCCUUCCUGUUUUCCUGCACCUGCUCUCAGGAGGAUCCUGUCCCCAGCCCACAGCAGGCCUGUCUGGCCUGACCCCAGCGGCCAGGCCGGAGGACCAGGAGGGCUGUGCUCUAUGGGCUUCCUGCGGAGGCAGCUCAGACCCCCUGGGCUGGCCAGCAACUGGGAGCAAAAUGGGCCAGAGGCUCACUCCCACCCGCCUGACCCGGACAUCCUGGAGAGGAGCUUCCCAGUUGUGAGUUCUUUCAUCUGGACCAGUUUUCUGGAUUAAUCUGAUGAGUGAAUUGCCAAUGAUGAUGGCACGAAGCCACUUCAGACGUGCUGGUGGACCUGUGGCGACACCGCCAGGUCACGCAUUUACAUUUUAAUUGGGGCCUUCAGUGCCCUGAGGCAAGCGACCAGGGACCAGAGCUGAACUCCAGGUGAACUCCAGCUGAACUCAGGAGGGGUCCCUGAGGAGCCACCCCCAUCCACUCCAGCCACAUAAGGCCUGGCCCAGGGCCUGAGUCAAGGUUGGGCGCCCCGCCCCCGUAAUCUUUCUAAAACACAAAUCGGCCAAUGCAGCUCCUGCUUAAAACCCUCUGUGGCUCCCUAGUACCCUCAGGAUCGAGUCCAAAGCCUCAGCCUGUGCUCUGUCCACUCCUGAGCCUCUUUCCCUCUCGCUUCCUGCUUUAUGCUCCAGCCAAACCAAAUCGCUUGUGGUCCCCAGGACACACCAUGCCCUUUCCUGCUUCCCUGCUUCUGUGCAUCCAGUCCCCAUGCCUAGAACACCCUUCCCAU
rnacentral:lncRNA from 1 species